rnacentral:rRNA from 1 species
UACGUAGGGGGCCAGCGUUGUCCGGAUUUAUUGGGCGUAAAGCGCGUGUAGGCGGCUAGGUAGGUCCGCUGUGAAAUCUCGAGGCUCAACCUCGAGCGGUCAUUGGAAACCAUCUGGCUAGAGUCCGGAAGAGGAGAGUGGAAUUCCUGGUGUAGCGGUGAAAUGCGCAGAUAUCAGGAAGAACACCAAUGGCGAAGGCAGCUCUCUGGGACGGUACUGACGCUGAGACGCGAAAGCGUGGGGAGCGAACAGG